GUAAAUGUGUGUGUGUGUGUGAGAGAGAGAGAGUGGGUAGAGUCCAGUGUGUGUGUGUGAGUGGCUAGAGUCCAGUGUGUGUAUGUGAGUGUGUGUGGCUAGAGUCCAGUGUGUGAUUGUGUGUGUGUGAGAGAGAGAGUGGUUAGAGUCCAGUGUGUGUGUGUGUGUGUGUGUGUGUGUGUGUGUGUGUGUGUGUGUGUGUGAGAGUGGGUGGAGUCCAGUGUGUGUGUGUGUGUGUGGUCCAGUGUGUGUGUGUGAGAGUGGGUAGAGUCCAGUGUGUGUGUGAGAGUGGGUAGAGUCCAGUGUGUGUGUGAGAGUGGGUAGAGUCCAGUGAGAGUGGGUAGAGUCCAUUGUGUGUGAGAGUGGGUAGAGUCCAGUGUGUGUGAGUGUGGGUAGAGUCCAGUUCCAGUGUGUGUGUGUGUGUGUGUGAGAGUGGGUGGAGUCCAGUGUGUGUGUGUGUGGGGGUGGAGUCCAGUGUGUGUGUGUGAGAGUG
rnacentral:lncRNA from 1 species